rnacentral:rRNA from 1 species
GACGAACGCUGGCGGCGUGCUUAACACAUGCAAGUCGAACGGAAAGGCCCCUUUGGGGGUACUCGAGUGGCGAACGGGUGAGUAACACGUGAGUAACCUGCCCUUGACUUCUGGAUAACUUCAGGAAACUGGGGCUAAUACCGGAUAGGAAUCCUUGCUGCAUGGUGGGGGUUGGAAAGCUUCGGCGGUUUUGGAUGGACUCGCGGCUUAUCAGCUUGUUGGUGGGGUGGUGGCUUACCAAGGCUUUGACGGGUAGCCGGCCUGUGGGGGUGACCGGCCACCCUGGGACUGAGAGGAGGCCCAGAUUCCUACGGUAGGCAGCAGUGCGGAAUCUUGCACCAUGGGCGGCGGCCGGAUGCAGCAAGGCCGCGUGCGGGAUAACGGCCUUCUUGUUGUAAACCGCUUUCAGCAGGAGCGAAGCUUGUGGUGACGGUACCUGCAGAAGAAGCACCGGCUAACUACGUG